GACCAACGCUGGCGGCGUGCUUAACACAUGCAAGUCGAACGGAAAGGCCUGCUUUCCCUUGUGGAUUGCGGGUACUCGAGUGGCGAACGGGUGAGUAACACGUGAGUGAUCUGCCCCCAACUUGGGUAUAAGCCUGGGAAACUGGGUCUAAUUCCCGAUAGGACUGCAGGGUGGUGCCUGUGGUGGAAAACGAUUUUCUAGUGGUUGGGGAUGAGCUCGCGGCCUAUCAGCUUGUUGGUGGGGUAAUGGCCUACCAAGGCGGCGACGGGUAGCCGGCCUGAGAGGGUGGACGGCCACAUUGGGACUGAGAUACGGCCCAGACUCCUACGGGAGGCAGCAGUGGGGAAUAUUGCACAAUGGGCGGAAGCCUGAUGCAGCGACGCCGCGUGGGGGAUGACGGCCUUCGGGUUGUAAACUCCUUUCGACCGCGAGGAAGCCACCUGGUUGGAAGGGUGGUGACGGUAGUGGUAGAAGAAGCACCGGCUAAUUACGUG
rnacentral:rRNA from 1 species